rnacentral:rRNA from 1 species
GUGGGGAAUAUUGGACAAUGGGCGAAAGCCUGAUCCAGCCAUGCCGCGUGUGUGAAGAAGGUCUUCGGAUUGUAAAGCACUUUAAGUUGGGAGGAAGGGCAGUAAGUUAAUACCUUGCUGUUUUGACGUUACCGACAGAAUAAGCACCGGCUAACUUCGUGCCAGCAGCCGCGGUAAUACGAAGGGUGCAAGCGUUAAUCGGAAUUACUGGGCGUAAAGCGCGCGUAGGUGGUUUUGUAAGUUGGAGGUGAUAUCCCCGGGCUCAACCUGGGAACUGCCUCCAAAACUGCAUGACUAGAGUACGGUAGAGGGUAGUGGAAUUUCCUGUGUAGCGGUGAAAUGCGUAGAUAUAGGAAGGAACACCAGUGGCGAAGGCGACUACCUGGACUGAUACUGACACUGAGGUGCGAAAGCGUGGGGAGCAAACAGGAUUAGAUACCCGUGUAGUCC